CCUACGGGUGGCAGCAGUGGGGAAUAUUGGGCAAUGGGCGCAAGCCUGACCCAGCAACGCCGCGUGAAGGAAGAAGGCUUUCGGGUUGUAAACUUCUUUUGAUAGGGAAGAGUAGAAGACGGUACCUGCCGAAUAAGCCACGGCUAACUACGUGCCAGCAGCCGCGGGAAUACGUAGGUGGCAAGCGUUGUCCGGAUUUACUGGGUGUAAAGGGCGUGUAGCCGGGUUGACAAGUCAGAUGUGAAAUCCUGCGGCUUAACCGCAGAACUGCAUUUGAAACUGUUGGUCUUGAGUACUGGAGGGGCAGACGGAAUUCCUGGUGUAGCAGUGAAAUGCGUAGAUAUUGGGAGGAACACCAGUGGCGAAGGCGGUCUGCUGGACAGCAACUGACGGUGAGGCGCGAAGGCGAGGGGAGCGAACGGGAUUAGAUACCCGAGUAGUC
rnacentral:rRNA from 1 species